GUGCUCGCUUCAGCAGUGCGUCUAGUAAAAUGGGAAGGAUACAGAGAAGGUUGGCAUGGCCCCUGUGCAAGGAUUUCACACGAACUCAUGAAGCAUUGCUUAUUUUU